rnacentral:rRNA from 1 species
UACGAAGGGGGCUAGCGUUGUUCGGAAUUACUGGGCGUAAAGGGCGCGUAGGCGGUCCUGAUCGUCGGAUGUGAAAGGCCUGGGCUCAACCUGGGAACUGCAUCCGAUACGGCGGGACUGGAGUGUGGGAGAGGUUGGUGGAAUUCCCAGUGUAGAGGUGAAAUUCGUAGAUAUUGGGAAGAACACCGGUGGCGAAGGCGGCCAACUGGACCACAACUGACGCUGAGGCGCGAAAGCGUAGGGAGCAAACAGG